AACGAACGCUGGCGGCAUGCCUAACACAUGCAAGUCGAACGAGACCUUCGGGUCUAGUGGCGCACGGGUGCGUAACGCGUGGGAACCUGCCCUUAGGUUCGGAAUAACUCCCCGAAAGGGUGCUAAUACCGGAUAAUGUCUUCGGACCAAAGAUUUAUCGCCUUUGGAUGGGCCCGCGUUGGAUUAGCUAGUUGGUAGGGUAAAAGCCUACCAAGGCGACGAUCCAUAACUGGUCUGAGAGGAUGAUCAGCCACACUGGGACUGAGACACGGCCCAGACUCCUACGGGAGGCAGCAGUGGGGAAUAUUGGACAAUGGGCGAAAGCCUGAUCCAGCAAUGCCGCGUGAGUGAUGAAGGCCUUAGGGUUGUAAAGCUCUUUUACCCGGGAUGAUAAUGACAGUACCGGGAGAAUAAGCUCCGGCUAACUCCGUG
rnacentral:rRNA from 1 species